rnacentral:tRNA from 1 species
CCCUGGAUUGCUCAGCUGGUAGAGCGCUCCACCUGUAAUGGAGAGGUCCCGGGUUCGAUACCCGGACCAGGUC